rfam:Oryza glumipatula chromosome 10, whole genome shotgun sequence.
UUUAAGUGCAACCAUGAGUUUUCGUGUCCAUCUUUGAUUGUCCGUCUUAUUUAAUUUUUUUUAUAAUUAGUAUUUUUGUUGUUAUGAGAUGAUAAAACAUGAAUAGUACUUUAUGCGUGACUUAUGUUUUAAAAUUUUUUUAAAUAAGAUAGAUGAUUAAAGUUAAGUACGGAAAAGCAUAGCUGCAUUUAAA